AGAGCGUGUUUUUCAACUCUUUGAUUCUUCGCUCAUUCGAAUUUUGCUCCCUGAUUCUCUUAGAGUUUCAAAAAGCUAGCCAGAGUGACUCUCCAUGCCAAGGGAAGUCUGCCGACUGAAAAGGAGGAGAGGGCGGUGAGACGGCAAAGAGAACUGCACGCUCCAAAAACCUUCCAUCGACAGUUGAAAAGAACCCUAGCCGUCCCGGAGGAGACUGGAAAUAUUUCAAGUUAAAAGCCUUCUAUCUUUGAAGUCGCUAUAAUGGAGGGGCCUUUUCAGCAAGUUUUGCGCCGAUUUUGAUUAAAACGGCGCGCAGCCAAUAAAACUCGCGGAACCUUUUCUUUCGUGAUUUGUUGGCCAGGUGAAAAUUUAGUUGUGGCGGGGGAUAGUCCCCAAAACUCGCAGGAAAAGGUUCAGUUUAACAUUGUACUAAAUUAUGUGCUAACAUACUUUACAUUGUGCUAAUGUUUGAAGGGGGUCUGUAUCUAAACAGGAACAAUUAAAAGGAAGGUGAAGCCAAGGCUGUGGUCUAUAAACAAAUGACUACUUAUUUGAAUAAAUGAAUAAACUGCAAAGUUGUCUGGUAGGUAAGACAAAAUUUGGAAGGGUAAUUUGAUCGACAAGCAAGACGUCAAGAUAAAUUAUGUGCUUCCCUCGACUUUGGCACCAACGAUGCGCAUCGAAAUCGUAAUGGCUGCCGAGUUUUAAAAAUAUCGUAUUUAAAUAUGUGGACAAAGAAUACUAAGCGGGUGCAACAUGCGUAACGCUUGAAUCGUCUGAUCCCUCCCGUGCAUCACCCCCACCUCUUCUCCGCCCUCUUUGUUCUGUUUCAUCACAGAUUCGCGAUCGGAGUGGGAGGCCCCAGGGUACUGGUUGAUACGUAGAUCAGAUACGUCUAUCAAGUUUUCCCACCGUGUUCCCUUCCUCCCCACCAUCCUCUCCACUCACCCACCACUUCCCCUGUGCUGUUCGCGAACUUUGAUGUCUGCUGCUGCCUUCAUAAAGGCCGAAUGGGUUGAGGGAGUGAGCAGUCAGUCCUACUGCCACUUGUGACUGAAAUCGUCCUCUGCCGUGGCUAGCCGAGACAGGUCACAAUGCUCCCAUGUCGGUUCGCCGCGACUGAGUCGUUAUGCAACGCAUGGCAAGGGAAGUAACUUCCGCACGAUCUGAGCAGACGAUCUCCGGUUGACGACACUGCAAAAGGGACUGCAGACAAGUUUCGUGCAUGGCGGCGAUGGAGGCACGUAGACGGGUCCGACUGGCGUGAUGGGUACGAGGACGCCUAGACCACGACUCCAACCUGUUGUCUACAACUUCAAAGCGCCUGCGUGCAGGAAGACAAGACUGCUGCGCGACUUGCCAGUGCCUCAAGGCGUUCUCGACCUGCCAUGAGAUUAAAACCAGACGUUUGGCAUAUGGUCUCAAAACAGAUCUCAUCAAUUCCAUGCUUGCUAUCAGCUUCUAUGUUAUAUUCUUUGAUCAUGUCACGUGAAGCAAGACAUUUGAAAACGGACAACUUCAAGAACCAUUUCGGGAACUACAGUCAGCAACACUCCAUCGUCUUUUCAUUCAAAUGCAAAGACACUUUGAGAAAUGUCUUUCCUGUUGCUGCCACCAGGAGAUGCUCUUACAAGCAGUUAGCUUAAAAGUGUUGGAGGAACAGAGGAUGAGAAACGAGUAUCUUUAAGGAAUGUCCAACAUCUCGUCUGCCGGCAUGUCCAACAUCUUCUUGUCAUCAUCGCCGGCGGCUCCGGUUUUGUCUUUGGUUAUCUAGCUGUAUGAUUGGGGCAGAAAUAUCAUAAAGCUAGGUUACCAAAGGCAAAAAUGGACGCCAAAUAUCACCCCGGGGGAAUGCUGCUGCAAAAUACAAGAAAACAAAGUUCCUAGGCAGCGGAGAAAGAUGUGAGGAGACCAAACGUUGAGUUAUGACGUCAUCAAAAUGGUGGCUAACAGCUCCUCUCCGUAAACCGAGUUGCAGACAUCAGCCGAAGACGCCGUCUCACAGAUGCUGUCAGUUAAAGCAAUCAACAGAUGGACGGUUGCAGAAGACGGAGGAUCCGAGCAAGCGAGCGCGUUGGGAGGAUAAAAGAGCUGUGUUGGAAUGCAGUAUUGGCAUCUGCCAAUCACCAUUGGCCCUGUGGGUCACGUGAGGGUGGCAAGUGCAGGUUAUUUCCGUCUCCCAUGACGGAAUGAAUCCUUACCUAGCCUGCAAUUAGCAAGUUGGCAUAGACUGAGCGAUGUAACGAUAUGCCAUAGAUUUCAAAGAAGCACACCCGUAUCUUCACCAGGCCGCAGAAUAAAUGCUUUAUGGUUUCGUAAAAACGGUGAGCUCCUAUUUUUCUUAAAGGUCUCUAUCAGAAGUUAUGAGACUCUGUUUUUAUUUUUUCAGAAAUUGAACACGCUGCUAUUUCUAAACUCGUAGUUCACCUAUACAGAGCUGACAAGAAGACAGCCGGUCACAAAGUUCAUCAGCCGACUUUCCACUCCCAUUUCUCACUCUCUCUCUCUCUUUUUCGCUCGCACGCGUGUUAUAUGCCUAUCGCUGUAAAAAGUUUCCACUCGAAUUUUAGUUUGCUUUUUCUUUUUCUUCAACCUUUCCCAGUUUUUAACAAUAUGGGUACGGGCUGGAUUUGCUUGUUUGGUUCUACAUUUAAAAGCUGUAUCGAACCAAGGUUAUUUUCUUUUCCUAUUUCACCCACAGUGUCCCGAUAUACGAGUGUGGUUAAUAAAUGGGUGCUUGUUGCUCCGUGUCUCUAGUAAAACUCGCCCUGCUUUGAGACACUUUCUGUCUCAAUUUCCUCCAAGCUGAAUGGUGGACAAUGACCUCCUGACGUCAAGCCUUAAGAAAACGCUGAAUUCAUUCCCCUUGAAGGUUGAACUUCAGGUAUUACCGAGAUGAAUGAGGGGAGAAAAAAAAAAAGAGAGAGAUCCGCAUGAAUGGAGAUGAAAGAGAAUGGCAAUUGUUGACGAAGGAAUGUGAAAGAGGAAUUACUAGCCAGUGGGGAAAAGCGAAAGAAAUGAUUUAAACAAAACGAGAGACAGAGAGUAUUUCAGGUUAUGGCUGUCUAAAUCUGAUUUCCAAAUUUCCAGAAUGCACCUUGAAUUAGCAUUUCUGAUAUAUAUAUAGAAAGCGGAAUUACAUCUUGAUCCGAUUUACACAGGAUGUCAACAUGUACCGUUGUCCUUUUCGUGGUCACGUGACAUUGCUCGUCACGUCAGCAUCGCUACUCGCCAGACGUGCAGCUUCUGCCAUUUGGACUACGGUGUCUGUCAUGCAGCUUCCUCUGAUGGCUGAUUUAAAUACAGUGCACAUGGCCCACUUUCUCUACACGAUAGUUUUUUUUAUGUAUUAUAUAGUUAGCUAAACGAUGACUCUAUUCCUUUUAGUUUAUUAUUUAUUCAUUUCCCUUCCCACUUGUGACUUACUCUAUGAGUCCUGUUUGAUGUUUAUUUCCCAAUCGUACCCUUUCAUGUCCUUCAUCAAAAUGUCUCCGUCAUAUAUUUUUUUUAUUUCUUGACAAAGCUUACAAUAAAACAGACAUUUUUCACUAAAAACAAGAAUGGCCGACGACAUUCUUUUUCUUCGUUCUUUUUUUCUUCAUCAUCAUCAUCAUCAUCCAUCAUCCAUCAUCAUCAAUCAUCAUCAUCAUCAGUUUAGGCCACCUUUGGGUAUGUUUCAUGGUUUAAGACAUUUUUCUCCAUACAUAGGCUAACCAUAGAAAACAUGUAAUAAGUAAUUAUUUACAUAAGUAAUUAUUUUUAUGUCUGUGUGUUUAUACUUUAAGUGCCUUGAGUGUGGCUGAUGCUGAAAAAAGGUGCUAUGCAAAUUUGCUAUUUAUUAUUAUUAAGUAUAAAAUGCCUAAAAGAGCAACAAUAAACCUUUUUGGUACAUAACUUCACUUUCACUAAUGCUUUAACGCAAUCUUCCUAUUGGUGUAAAUAAUAUUUUAAUACAAGCUUUGUGUUGAUUAUAGUAACGGUUUAAUACAAACUUUUUACUAAAGUUAUUAAAGUUUAACCUUUAGAACAUGUCUGUGUCAUACGUUUCAUGCUAUCCGUCUUAGAAUAUAAAAAAGGUUUUGGAAGGAAAAUAGUAUGAACAUUAUAAAUGAACACAAUUUUUCUUUCCUUCAUAGCGUCAUGAAUUAAAUGGAACUUUCUACAAACUGAAAUUAAAUUUACACUGGUGGUAGCGACAGUAAAAUCCCUCUAGAUAGCGAUUCAAAAUUCCGAUAAGUAAUUGUAAUUUUAUGAAAUUUUAAGCAUAACUUAUAUAGGGCCGGAAAGGUCUCUAGAUAAUAACAAUAAAAACAUUUCAAAGACCUUUUUACUGCAUUUCUAGAUAUCUAAUCAAUAAGAGAAAGUUUGUUUGUCGAGGAAUGUUUUGAUGGCGGAGUAUGUGGAGGCCAAGAGAGUCCCCAGGCGGAAGCUUUGUGGUGACGUCACAUCCAGUUGGCCUUCCUUAUCAAUAGCCUUAUAAUCAUAAUAAUGACAAACAGUAUAGUGUCUUUCUCGUUUCUAAGACAAAACACUUUUCAUGUUUAAUUGAUCAUGUAUUUCCCAGAAAUACUGCGAUGUUAUUAGAAUGAAUAGUGAAUUGUUCACGUGAUACAAAAAAUGCAUACAAAGAAGAAUAAUAUUUUGAAAUAAGUAAUUAAUAUUUUUUAAAUUACACUUUUAAUCAGGAGCUAAGCUAGCCAGUGAAAUCGAGAAGAUUAUGAGUGAAAUCAGCUUAAUUCAUUCUAACUGUGGUGGGGAUAAUAAAAGUCGGUUCAAUUAAAUGUCAGACUGGGAUAAUGUUAAUAGUAAAAUGACGCCAUUUGAAAUGUGCAAUUUUUCGUUUAAUCCGCUCUCUCUCUCACACACACACACACAAACACGCACGCACGCACACACUCUUCCAUCAAACGGUCAUUCGCUCAGUUAAUGAAUGUCAUGAGGGAUUUAAGCGCAUGGUAGCUAAUGUGCUACUCAAUUCCUCCCUUUCUCCCUCAACGUCAUGUUUCAUUCUGCACACUCCCAAUAUCUUUUAAGUUUUCAAGAAAAUAUGUAAAUAUUUCUCCCUUGUAUCACAGGCAAAGCAUUAGCAGCACCAUUGAUUGGCAGCCACAUCCGUGAGUCACUCGCAUCCAUUUGAUGGUCAGUUUUACAGUCAAGCGGUGGGUGGGUGAGUGGAUUGGAAUGACCCCGGCAAGUUUACUGGAAAACUGAAGAAAGUAGACAAAGAAACUCUAGCUCGUAAUCACUUUACUGUGCCUGCAACUUUUCUCUUCACGUUGCUUCUUGUCGCAUGUUUUCUCCAGACGCUUCUAGAAUUACAGCAAAACCUGUCGAAAUGCCCUGUUAAGAGAUCUUGAUAAAUCAAGAGGGAAUUCUAACUCCGCCAUGUGUGGUGUCUGACAUGUGAAUAAUACAAACGUUUACAUAUUUACAGUAUGCACAUAGCAAUACCCGACAUCAAUAGUUAGUUAUCAGGUGACCUCGGUGACAAUACAUACACUCAAAAAUUGGAAAUUAUUCUCCAGUCGUCUGCUUUUGGUGAGAGGUGAACAAUUUUAACUCCCUGCCUCCUCCCUCUUCUUUUAUUAAGGGAGGAAAGGGGAGGGGGCCAAUUUUGCGGUGGGGGAGUGCGGCAUUUGUGUCGCAGUUUUUUUUAAACCUUGAAACGGCCAUCAGUGCCAUUCAAUCAUGCGCUCUGUGGUAACGACUUCUUUGCGCCGUAUUUUCUUAACUUUUUUACUUUUUUUGCUAAUGGCCCAUCAGUUUUAAAUUUGAAUUAGGAACCGCCUCAAACUGAAUUAUCUCAAAUCAUUUUGCUUCACUCCCAAGUGGAAGCAUCUGGUUACGACAAAAAGAAGCAGUCAUGCGAGGCAGGUUCCAUCUGUCGGCCCUCGCGAGGUGACAGCAGAGCAGCCGCCGGCGACUGUCACAUCAUGGACGAGCUUGCUUCCUCACCAGCAGGCUUCCAUGGAUACGUGCAGCACACUGGCGGAAGUGCCUGUCGUCAGCCCGAAGAUGCUCGAGGAAGCAGAGGAGCCUGAAGGAACAAGACUAUAGUGAUCUUGUCAGUGUCAUACCAACACUUGGUUGCUGCAUGUGCAGGCGAAGAUCCCGAAGUUCGGUAAGACUGUUGAGGGAACGGGACUGAUGGCUGCAUGACAAGCCUCAACAGUUGACGAACACCUGCACUAACUCUGCCACAGACCUAACAUACCCCUGCGCCUGCGUGUAAUAUUAUUAAUGUUUAUUGUAGUGCAUAGAUACACACAAAUACACAUACAUGAUAUAUACGUAGCAUUUAUUCAUUUUCAAUCUGCUUAUCCUUGUCUCUUACAUUAACGCAUGUUCAAUGAGUUCUUCUGUACUUUUUUAAAAAAAAAAAGUACAAUGCAGUCUUUAUCAAUUAAUUUUCCUCUCCUCUAAAAAAAGUCAAUCUCUUGACAGCGUGUCAGAAAUCAAUUUUCUAAUUAUUAGCGAAUGGUUUUAACAAUAUUAAAGUUGUUGAUUCGAUGUUCUGGGACUCUACCGCAAUGAGGCUAAUUAAACUACAGUGCAUAUGACUAGAAAUGUGUGUGUGUUUUAAAUAUGUUUGGCUGAGUAACCCCGAACCCUCCCUCUGAUGAAAUCAUUUUCUACCAGACCUGUAAAAUACUGAUGAGUGACUGAAUACGAGCUCAGCAUCUCGCAAACCUGAGAAGUUCAAGUUCAAGUCUUGAGAAGUAUGUUAGUGGGAACACUACUACUACUAAUUUUUAAUCUAUUGGCUACAUUCCCUACUCAUCUUGAUAUUUACGUAUAUUUACGAAACUGUCAGUUCUUGUUAUCUUAUUCCUCUAUGUGUUUCCUAUAUUUGUCUUUAUAGUCAUAAGUAUUAUUUAUCCUUCUACCCUUC